UACGUAGGGUGCGAGCGUUAAUCGGAAUUACUGGGCGUAAAGCGUGCGCAGGCGGCUCUGCAAGACAGAUGUGAAAGCCCCGGGCUCAACCUGGGAACUGCAUUUGUGGCUGCAAGGCUAGAGUGCGUCAGAGGGAGGUGGAAUUCCGCGUGUAGCAGUGAAAUGCGUAGAUAUGUGGAGGGAUACCGAUGGCGAAGGCAGCCCCCUGGGUCGAUACUGACGCUCAUGCACGAAAGCGUGGGGAGCAAACAGG
rnacentral:rRNA from 1 species